GUGCCAUUUCCCGUCUUGGUGAAGGGCUCCGACUGUCGAUCGGAGAAGGCGAGUUCGAUCCUCGUAUGGCGCGCCA
rnacentral:tRNA from 2 species